AACAGCCUGUCUGCCUGGACCUCUCGUCUAGGAGAGAGAAACGGCUCCUUGGUCUGGGGAGCCUGGUCAGAGUCCCAGGGACCAGAAUCAAGUCCUCAGUGAUCCCAUCACGAAGGGAGGAUGGAGAAGCCCCUGGGAGCCUGGUUACUGAUCCUGUGGCUCCAGCUGGGCUGGGCGAGCGGCCAGAACAAGGUGGAGCAGACUCCUGUGUCCCUGAGAACCCGCGAGGGACAGAAUUGUGCCAUGAAGUGCAAGUACACAAUCAGGAACUUUUAUGGUUUGUAUUGGUACCGGCAGCAUCCUGGAAAAGGCCCUGAACCCUUGUUCUACCUGAGUUCAGAUGGGGAGAAGGAGAAUGGGAGAUUCACAGCCAAUCUCGAGACUAAAGAUAGCUCCAGCUCCCUGAUCAUCAGAAACUCCCAGCUUGAAGACUCAGCCACCUACUUCUGUGCUGGGGAGACACAGUGAUCCCCAGACACCUGCUGCCUGUGCAGAAACCCUGCCCGCAGCUGGGACUGCUGCUCACUCACUGUCUUGCCUGUCAUCAACUAGCCUGUGCAAACUAUCAGGACCCCAUCAGCUCUUCAUGGCACCAAGACCACUUUUGUCCCUGCACUCCUCCAUGGUCUUUGAUCUUGGGGAUCAUCUCCUGAAAUCUCUUUUUGACCAUGAGUUCUGGGACCCUGCAAUCUUCUUACAUCUAACAGCUCUUUUUUCUCUUUGCUGGUUUCUCUCCCUCAUCCCAAUAGCUGACAGCGACCACCUCCAUGGCCGAGGUGAUUUUCCUCCCUGACUAUCCCAGAACGACACCCACAUUCUGCUCUUCUUGCGUAGGUUUGAUCUGGAAAUUGUUCUCUCCAACAAAGUCCAGGUUCACCAUCCUCAGUGGCCCUCUGUUUUCUGGAAAUGGUGUCACCUGCAGCCUCCAAUGAUGGGUCACUGCUUUGACAAAAUUCCGGUCUUUCCACUGUGGAACCACCAAUCAUUACCCAGUGUUCUCUGGAGAAUACUGGGCUACUUCCGCAUGUAGCAUUUUGUACCAGCCCUUAGAGCCUGGCAUUGCACUCAGUAAGUGAUAAAUAAACACCAUUUCUACUAACAUA